CUGGGCAAGAAGUUCCAGGUUACACCUGAACAGAAAGCUUCACCCUCCAGUGUGGGCGUUUGGUGAGAUGAGGCUGGAAAGAAGUUGGAAAUAGCCAGGCAGGGACAAGGAAUGACUGUGCAGCCUAUUGAUCGUUGCUGCUUCUUUCUAUGUAUCAGGCCAAGCUCACUCAAAUGCUAGCUUCUUCCCAUAACGGCAGAAAGAAGGAAAAUGAAAGCAGAGCAACAGCAAACAGCAGCAGCUCCGGAUGGAUCGUCGACGUACGUCGCCGUUGCCGACUUGUAGUAUAAAUGGAUCACUGACUCAACUGAUAUGAUGCACACUGCACACUCACACCAAGCAGUUGAGAUUCCCCAUAUUCCAAACGCCACCAAGAAAUACUCGGAAAAGAGAGGACAAUUGACCCAGCUUGGUCGCCACAUGUAGCCAUGCAGCUCGUCGUCUAUCUCUUUCUCUCUUGCUGCCCCUUUAUUUUUGCUUCGAUGGAGUAGAACACCACCACUACAUCCUGUUUGCUUCUCCUGAUUUUGCAGCCUCAGCUCCUCGUUUUACUGUGCUCCUCUGCCUCGUGGGAUAACCGAAUUCGCCUUGGAUUGCGUCGGAAAGCAGGUGUUGACAUGGCUCUAGCCCACUCGGAUCAUAUCAGAUCGUGUAGCCAUCAACGUGUGCGUGAAUUCUCCAAAAAUUUCAGGUCUAUCUAUGGGUCCCGGCCGGUGGGAUGUGCCUUUUGAAAAAAAGAAAAAAGGAGAGAGAUCGAAUUUGGCAGCAAAAAAGUUGUUGAAAUUCAGCGAAAAUCUACGCGAAUUUCACCUUUUAUUCUGAUGCUUGUUUUUCACUGUGAGUUCGUAGGUGUGGGCUAUGUAGUGCCUUGAUUUUGUCGUUGCUACGUCGAGCUCUCAACGAUCCCGGGGACAUGAUUACACGCGGGGAAAAGUACCAAAGUAAAGGGUGUGUGUAACAUGCAUU